UCUCCGUUGGUGAACCAGCGGAGGGAUCAUUACCGAGUUUACAACUCCCAAACCCAAUGUGAACCAUACCAAACUGUUGCCUCGGCGGGGUCACGCCCCGGGUGCGUCGCAGCCCCGGAACCAGGCGCCCGCCGGAGGGACCAACCAAACUCUUUCUGUAGUCCCCUCGCGGACGUUAUUUUUACAGCUCUGAGCAAAAAUUCAAAAUGAAUCAAAACUUUCAACAACGGAUCUCUUGGUUCUGGCAUUCGAUGAAGAACGCAGC
rnacentral:misc_RNA from 1 species